ACGUGCCAGCAGUCUUAAUACAUGCAGUCGAACGGAGGAUGUAGCAUAUGUCCUCAGUGGCGAACGGGUGAGUAACGCGUUGGUGACCUGCCCCGAAGCGUGGGAUAACAGCUCGAAAGGGCUGCUAAUACCGCAUGAGGUCUAGGAGGCUAGAGGCUUCGAGACGAAAGGAGUGCGUUCGUAAGAACGCCCCGCUUUGGGAGGGGCCUGCGUCCCAUCAGCUAGUUGGUAAGGUAAAGGCUUACCAAGGCGAAGACGGGUAGGGGGCCUGAGAGGGUGACCCCCCACACUGGCACUGAAACACGGGCCAGACACCUACGGGUGGCAGCAGUAGGGAAUAUUGCACAAUGGGCGAAAGCCUGAUGCAGCAACGCCGCGUGCGCAAAGAAGGUCUUCGGAUCGUAAAGCGCUUUUUGGGGAGAUGAGGAAGGACAGUAUCCCCAGAAUAAGGCUCGGCUAACUACGUGCCAGCAGCCGCGGUAAAACGUAGGAGCCAAGCGUUAUCCGAAUUCACUGGGCGUAAAGCGCGUGCAGGCGGUCUGGUAAGUUGGAUGUGAAAUCUCCUGGCUCAACUGGGAGAGGCCGUUCAAUACUGUCAGACUAGAGGGCGACAGAGGGAGGUAGAAUUCCCGGUGUAGUGGUGAAAUGCGUAGAUAUCGGGAGGAAUACCAGAGGCGAAGGCGACCUUCUGGGUCGUACCUGACGCUCAGACGCGAAAGCUAGGGGAGCGAACGGGAUUAGAAACCCCGGUAGUCCUAGCCGUAAACGAUGUAGACUGGGUGUUGGCGGGGGUAAAAGCCGUCAGUGCCGAAGCAAACGCGAAAAGUCUACCGCCUGGGGACUACGGCCGCAAGGUUA
rnacentral:rRNA from 1 species